rnacentral:rRNA from 1 species
GACGUAGGGCGCGAGCGUUGUCCGGAUUUAUUGGGCGUAAAGAGCUCGUAGGCGGCUUGUCGCGUCGACUGUGAAAACCCGCGGCUCAACCGCGGGCUUGCAGUCGAUACGGGCAGGCUAGAGUUUGGUAGGGGAGACUGGAAUUCCUGGUGUAGCGGUGGAAUGCGCAGAUAUCAGGAGGAACACCGGUGGCGAAGGCGGGUCUCUGGGCAGUAACUGACGCUGAGGAGCGAAAGCGUGGGGAGCGAACAGG